GACGAACGCUGGCGGUGUGCUUAACACAUGCAAGUCGAACGGAAAGGCCCUGCUUGCAGGGUACUCGAGUGGCGAACGGGUGGGUAACACGUGGGUGAUCUGCCCUGCACUUCGGGAUAAGCCUGGGAAACUGGGUCUAAUACCGGAUAGGAGCCAUUUUUAGUGUGAUGGUUGGAAAGUUUUUUCGGUGUAGGAUGAGCUCGCGGCCUAUCAGCUUGUUGGUGGGGUAAUGGCCUACCAAGGCGGCGACGGGUAGCCGGCCUGAGAGGGUGGACGGCCACAUUGGGACUGAGAUACGGCCCAGACUCCUACGGGAGGCAGCAGUGGGGAAUAUUGCACAAUGGGCGCAAGCCUGAUGCAGCGACGCCGCGUGGGGGAUGACGGCCUUCGGGUUGUAAACUCCUUUCGCUAGGGACGAAGCUUUUUGUGACGGUACCUAGAUAAGAAGCACCGGCUAACUACGUG
rnacentral:rRNA from 1 species